rnacentral:piRNA from 1 species
GUGUGAUGAGAACAUCCUGUGGCUGGACU